GUCGGUUUUGUGACCAAGCUGGAAAGAGUUUGAGAAAGGAGUAAUUAGAUUGGGUGAAAAGAAUGGGAGAAACGUACAUUUGGUCUGAUAACUUUAAAAUGUCACGAAGAAGACUUGAAGUGCCUCAUACCAAGAGGUCUAAGGCCGAUUUGGGUUCUCUGGCUGCUGUCACAGCGACCUCUUAGGAACUGGAAGAACUGAAUCUGUUGGCUCAUUUUACUGCAGGCUGCUAGUUAUCAACAGCUAUAACGGAGAAGCAGUGUAGUUUUUUGCUUUUUUUAAGCUCUUCAUGCUGCUGUAUGAAAAGGUUAGUGACUGCCCAGGAUCACAGUCUGAGAGGUUGCUUUGAAUUAGCAGGGAACCUAUGGCAUCAAGAUGUAGGCUGUGCUAGUUGUAAAGGUUCUGCUUGGGCCAGGACUGUACCUGUCCUUUAGCAGUCUGCGCCUUGACUGCAGCCUGUAACUACAACAUCCAUUUCUGAAGCAGCAGUGAGCCUCCAACAUGAAUGGAUGCUCCUUCUGGAAGGGAGCAUGCCGUGUGGGUGGCCCCCCAUGCCUGUCUGCAGCCCUGCAGCUCCUUGCCUCUUCCCAGGCCUCAAGAGGCCCCAUGGCUAAAGCAGCUUGCAAGAGGAGGAUCUCAACUCUAGGUGGUUCAGGAUACAAGUUUUGGAAGUGGCUAAGCUUCCUUUUUAGAAAUGCUAUUAAAACUUUUGGAAAGCAAGGAGUGGUUCUGAUGCUGUGCUUGGCUUUGUUAUGUUGGUUUGGGGCUUGGUUGGCUGGCUUGGUUUAGUUUAAGGACCUUAUACUGUUUUCUCUUUUAUUCUGGUGGAAGCGAAUACCAAAGAUACCAUUG
ensembl:lncRNA